rnacentral:rRNA from 1 species
AGCAGCCGCGGUAAUUCCAGCUCCAAUAGCGUAUAUUAAAGUUGUUGCAGUUAAAAAGCUCGUAGUUGAAUUUCGGGGCCAGUAGGUUGGUCAUGCCUCAGGUAUGUACUGACCUUACUGGUCUCUCCUUCUUGAAGAACCGUAAUGGCAUUAAUUUGGUGUUGCGGGGAAUCAGGACUGUUUACUUUGAAAAAAUUAGAGUGCUUAAAGCAGGCUAACGCUUGAAUACAUUAGCAUGGAAUAACGAAAUAGGACGUUCGAACCUAUUUUGCUGGUUUCUAGGAUCGACGUAAUGAUUAAUAGGGAUAGUUGGGGGCAUUAGUAUUCAAUUGUCAGAGGUGAAAUUCUUGGAUUUAUUGAAGACUAACUACUGCGAAAGCAUUUGCCAAGGAUGUUUUCAUUAAUCAAGAACGAAAGUUAGGGGAUCGAAGACGAUCAGGUACCGUCGUAGUCUUAACCAUAAACUAUGCCGACUAGGGAUCGGAUGAAGUUAAUUCUUUAAUGACUCA